rnacentral:lncRNA from 1 species
AGACGGCGAGCGCUCCUUCUCCCGGGCACUGCAGCUGUGCGCUCCCGGAAGCAUUCCGGGCGGAGGGAAGCGGCCGCGAUCCGCGCCUGCUGGGAACCGUGCCAAAGUUGGGACCCGCGCUGGGGAGGCAGCCGAGCGCCCCACGCCACGUGCUACCGACCGGCGGGGAGCGCAAGAGCGCUGCACCCCGCACAGAGGCCUGCCGGGCCGCCGAGGGCCGUGAGCUAAGCCGGGGACCGGGCCGCGCCGACCCGGGCCGCGCUGAGCCGGGCCGCGCGCCCACCGGGGGUCCCUUCCGCCAGCCCGUUGGGAAGGUUGGCAGACGCCCUACCUUCUCCUCGCCAUCGUAGAUUCGCACCCCGCGCUGCUGGAUCACCAGGGUCUCGUUGAUCUCCAGGAGGCCGCUGGUCCAAACGAAGCGGUCCAUGGCCGCUGCCACCCAGCCCCGGCCCUCCGAGGCCGCGAGCAGCGCGCCAGGCAGCCUGCGGCGCCCCCUAGCGUCGGACGGGACGGAAGCGAGUCGGGGCGGGUGAGGGACGGAGGGAGCGGCCUGGCAGCGAGCGGGCGCGGCUGCGAGGUGCGCCCGGGGACGUGGAGACGUGCGUGGAGCGCCCCCUGGCGGUCCAUUAGCCGCCGGCCUUUCAGAACCCUUGAUCAGCAGGCGGUCCACCCCAUUCUAAAUUCAGAGCUUACAGGGACGCGAGGGAGCCCCGACCACAGCUUGGACUUGCUUAUUGUGCAUUAUGCCUGCAUGUUUGUGGCAGUUUUCUUGUCAGUGCCCAGAAUGUUGCUACAUUCGCUAAUGAUUGUAAAUAAUCAUAACCCCUCUCUUUCAAAUGAAUAUUUAUGGCACGCAUUGUUUCUGUACAGCUGCAGUCAGUACUACCUGUGCUGCUCUUUUUUUCCCUUUAAGAUUAUAUUGUAACACAAAGGAUAAAUGCUUGAGGUAACGGAUACCUCAUUUACCCUGAUGUGAUUAUUAUACAGUGUAUGCCUGUAUCAAAAUAUCCCAUAUACCCCAGAAAUAUAUACACCUAUGUACCCACACAAAUUAAUUUUUUUUUAACUGGGGGAAACAGAUUUUAUUUAACCGGGCUUGAUGCGCGCGCCUGUAUUCCCAGCUGCUUCCGAAGCUGAGGCGGGAGGAUUGCUUGAACCCAGGAGUUUGACACCAGUGGGCGACAUAGAAAGACCCUUUCCCCCUCCACCCCAACUCCCCCACGCCACUCCACUCCCCCACCCCCAGGCUCAGAAAAAAAAGAUUAUUUUUAUUUAGGCAUUUUCAAUAUUAAUACAGACCUCAUGCGUGAAUUUACAUUUCAAUAUGUAGUUCCUCUAUAAUUUAGCUGUUUGUUGGUCUGCGCAAAGCCAUCCAUGGCCGCUGCUCUCACCCACCAGGCGGCCUCGUGCCCCUAGCCAUUUCAUUUUUGUAUUUUGCUUUAUAAAUGGAACACCUGGCCGGGCGCGGUGGCUCACGUUUGUAAUCCCAGCACUUUGGGAGGACAAGGCGGGCGGAUCACAAGUCAGGAGUUCGAGACCAGCCUGGCUAACAUAGAGAAACCCUGUCUCUACUAAAAAUACAAAAAAUUAGCCCGGCGUGGUGGCGGGUGCCUGUAAUCCCAGCUACUCGGGAAGCUGAGGCAAGAGAAUCGCUUGAACCCUGGAGGUAGAGGUUGCAGUGAGCCGAGAUCGCACCAUUGCACUCCAGUCUGAGCGACAGAACGAGACUCUGCUUCAAAAAUAAUAAUAAUAAAUAAUAAAUAAAUAAAUAAAUGGAGCAGCUUAUAGAUGUCCUUCUACAAUUGAUACAUAUUUUUCUCUUUAGGAUUAUUUUCUUACAGUGUCUUCCUAAAAUAGAAUGACUGCUUUAAAGGUUGUGAACACAUUUUAGAGAGCCUACCACUUAUUGGGGUCUUAACUAAGGCUGCGUGCCCACGUGGGCAGAGGGGCACAGGGGCAGAGGGACAGAGGGCAGGCUUGCUCUCUGCCCCCAGGGCUCCACAUUUCCCCCAGUCGUGGAGUCAGUGGUCUGUGGCUAGGCAUUAAAAGAAAGGAAAGGCUCUUUCCAAUGAGUAUAAGCCAUCUCUCCCCCGAAAUGAAUUGCUACUUUUACCGUGUUCCAAAAUCCUGUGUGUAUUUUGGUCUAUUUCUAAACAGUGUCUUCUGUAUUUCAUAUCUUUCAAUUUCCAUCAUGACCAUAUACCCAAUAACCAAAAGUUCUUUGAAAACAUUUGAUUUGCUGUAAUAUGCUAUCAAUAUAUAUCACAAUUUACCAUCAUUGCCUGAUUUUUGAGCAUUUGAUUGUUUACCAACUUUUUAGUCUUUUUUAAUUGAAAGUAAUGUGACCUAAGCAUCCUAAUCAGAUGUGGAACUGUGCAGUUAUGCCUGGGCUUUGCAAUUAUCAACAUGUUAGGCAGUGAGGACAUUUGCAAGGUAUGUUUUCUGCCCUUGAGGGAUGUACAGUCUGUAGGACACAAAUAGAAGCCUGGCAUAUGAUAGCUGCUGGGAUAGACAACCGUAUAAGGGUUUCCUGUAUCCAGGCUGGAGCAAGGAGAAACGUCAUGUGGCUUAUAUAUGGCAAUAAAUGAAUAGACAAAAG